UACGGAGGGUGCGAGCGUUGUCCGGAAUCACUGGGCGUAAAGGGCGCGUAGGCGGCCUGAUAAGUAGGGGGUGAAAUCCUGCGGCUUAACCGCAGGGCUGCCUUCUAAACUGUCAGGCUAGAGCACAGUAGAGGCAGGUGGAAUUCCCGGUGUAGUGGUGAAAUGCGUAGAGAUCGGGAGGAACACCAGUGGCGAAGGCGGCUCGCUGGGCCGGACCUGACGCUGAGACGCGAAGGCGUGGGGAGCGAACGGG
rnacentral:rRNA from 1 species